UGAACUGAUAUAUCUUGUAAUGGAACUGAAUAGUAAGGUGGCCAACAACUGGGGCCCGAAUGGCGAUAAUACGUGACGUUUUUUUUCUCAAAACCGCUCAUCAAAAGCUGAAAAUAGUAUUUUCACUGAAAUUUCAAACUUGCUAAUUGCUAACCCGUUAGCUAACAUUUUGACAUCACCAAAAAUCACCUAACAUUGAUGGCUUGAUCACAAGAUAACAUUGUUGAAGGUAAUGCAUUAUUUAAACGCUGUUGAAUAUGCCGAGAAUACGGCGUCCCACGCUACGUUUCCGCGUUCCCUUAUUUGUGUCAUACUACCUUUAGCUAGUAGGUAGCUAGCUAGGUUACUUUCUAAGCUAAGCUAACGUUAGCUAAUUUAGGUUUGUCUGUAUUAGCGCGAACUAGCUAGUAGCGUAUCAGCCGUGUUGAGACAGAUAGCCUGCUCUGUUUAGAAGCCUCUCAGGUGAGUCGGCAGGCAAAAAAAGAAAAUGCCAAAUGAUGUCUUCACUAUGACAAACCUCUUUGUUAUGAGCCUUGCUUGAUGAUAUUUCAGUAUUUGUCUUUCAGAUCAAUGAACAAUUCCACAGGCUCACCGCAAAGCAUCCUGAGGCAAGGUUUAUGCAGGACACCCCUAAGCUGCUGUCCUUAUUCCAUUCCAAGGGAGGAGUACUUUCAGACAGAUUGCGGGUCAUGCUGGAUGGAAGCUGAGGGGGUCAUUUCCUGCAAGACCUUGCGCAACAUGUAAAGCAAAUCUAUGCGAUCAACGAGGAGGGUGCCGUGGCGAGUGAUGGUCCAGAGGAGCAGGUCAGGAACGGUGUCCUCUACCACAGGCCCGCUUGUUGUUGGUGAAGCCGCCUGGGGCCAGAAUCUGUGCUGGGACC